CGGACGGGUGAGUAAUGCUUGGGAAUCUGGCUCAUGGAGGGGGAUAACUACGGGAAACUGUAGCUAAUACCGCGUAGUAUCGGAAGAUGAAAGUGUGGGACCGCAAGGCCACAUGCCAUGAGAUGAGCCCAAGUGGGAUUAGGUAGUUGGUUAGGUAAAGGCUGACCAAGCCGACGAUCUCUAGCUGGUCUGAGAGGAUGACCAGCCACACUGGAACUGAGACACGGUCCAGACUCCUACGGGAGGCAGCAGUGGGGAAUAUUGCACAAUGGGGGAAACCCUGAUGCAGCCAUGCCGCGUGAAUGAAGAAGGCCUUCGGGUUGUAAAGUUCUUUCGGUGAUGAGGAAGGUGUUUGUUUUAAUAGGACAAGCAAUUGACGUUAGUCACAGAAGAAGCACCGGCUAACUCCGUGCCAGCAGCCGCGGUAAUACGGAGGGUGCGAGCGUUAAUCGGAAUAACUGGGCGUAAAGGGCACGCAGGCGGUGACUUAAGUGAGAUGUGAAAGCCCCGAGCUUAACUUGGGAAUUGCAUUUCAUACUGGGUCGCUAGAGUACUUUAGGGAGGGGUAGAAUUCCACGUGUAGCGGUGAAAUGCGUAGAGAUGUGGAGGAAUACCGAAGGCGAAGGCAGCCCCUUGGGAAUGUACUGACGCUCAUGUGCGAAAGCGUGGGGAGCAAACAGGAUUAGAUACCCUGGUAGUCCACGCUGUAAACGCUGUCGAUUUGGGGAUUGGGCUUAGAGCUUGGUGCCCGUAGCUAACGUGAUAAAUCGACCGC
rnacentral:rRNA from 1 species